ACUUGUCUGUCCAUCUGCAGCAGUGGAGAACACCUCUGUUUUGGAGGUUGGUAUAGUUGUGUUCCGUGGGAUUAUCUUUGUCAUCACACCGCCUAUGGUUUCUAGCCCUAGAGAGAGCGGUGUCACAUCUAAGAGCACAAUGUUGCUUACUUCUCCAGUGAGAACAGCAGCCUGGGGUGCAAGUCAAAUGUGAUGCCAGAAGUUGAGGGCCUCAAAUGACAUAGUAUUGUCAUGAAAAGAAAGAAAUAAAAACAGUUAGAAAAGCCGACCUGAACUGCAGCGCCAAGCGCAACAACUUCAUCAGGAUUCACUGUUACAUUAGGUUCUUUUCCAGUCAUUUUUCUCACCAAACCCUGAACAGCUGGUACACGUGUUGAACCACCAACAAGGAUCACUUCAUCUAUAUCUUGGAGGGAAAGCUUUGCAUCUUUCAAGGCAUUUUGAACUGGAGCCCUAAGCCUUCAAAACAACAGACUGCAGACAUUACUACUGAGCUUAAAACAAACUCUAGAAUUUCUUGUCUUUAUUAGAUAUUUCAACUUCUCUUGCCCUCUCCAGGGCAAAAAGAUAACCUACCUAUCCAACAAAUCUUCGCACAACUCUUCAAAUUUGGCUCUUGUCAAGGCGACAUCAAUGUGUUUAGGGCCAUCUGCAGUAGCAGUAAUGAAAGGUAAACUGGCAAAACAGCAAAAAUUUAUCAGUACUGAAACAAAAGAGAAAGACAGCAGGCAAAAGAUUAAGCUACAAACGUGAUAUUGGUCUGAGUCAAAGAUGACAACUCAAUCUUUGCUUUCUCGGCUGCCUCUGUUAGACGCUGAAGAACUUGUUUAUCUUUCAGAAGAUCCACAUCUUCAUCUCUCUUAAAGCUUUCAGCAAGCCAAUCCACAAUUCUCUGUUUAAACGACAAGAAUCACACUUGUUAUUUCCUACCAAGAAAAUAAAAUAAAGAAAACGAAUACAAAUUUCUUACCUUGUCAAAGUCAUCACCCCCUAAAUGCGUAUCGCCUGAGGUGGAAAGUACUUCAAAUACUCCAUCUCCAACCUCA
rnacentral:misc_RNA from 1 species